rnacentral:lncRNA from 1 species
AUGGCUAGGAACGUUUUAGGAAUGAACAUAAGAGAAAGGUCUCGAUAAUUAACUUACUUAGAUCACUUUGCUCUUAGAACAAAUACAUUCCUUGGAUUCUCUUAUUGCUUAAACACAUGAUACAAUAAAUAGUGAUUAACAAUAAGAUUUGCCCUUCAUUAAACAUGUAAAAGUUUAAUACAUUUAAGUAUUCCAAAAAGCUAUUACAUCAAAUGAGUGGCUUUGUGGGCAUACUUCCAACAAUCUCCCACUUGCACUCAAAGCCACCUUCCCAUGUAUCUAAUACCCAUCUUUUCCAUAUGACGGUCAAGCUGGAUCUGAGACAUUGGCUUUGUCAGUGGAUCUGCUACGUUAUCGGCUGAAGCAACUUUGAGGAUGUUGAUUUUCCCCUCGGCAGCAUAUCUUCUAAUGAUAUUAAAGCGUCUGUCAAUAUGCUUGUUCUUUUGAUGUGCCCUGGGUUCCUUGGCUUGAGCUAUCGCCCCACUAUUAUCACAGUACAAAGUUACUGGUGAUGUAAUGGUUGGAACCACCCCAAGUUCAGUGAUGAACUUCUUCAUCCAGAACGCUUCUUUGCCGGCUUCAGUUGCAGCGACAUAUUCAGCCUCUGUCGUGGAAUCAGCAAUUACACUUUGCUUCUUGCUUUUCCAACUGACAGCCCCACCAUUCAGAGUGAAUACAUAUCCGGAGUUGGAACUUCUAUCAUCGACGUCAGAUUGGAAAUCUGCGUCUGUAUAGCCUUCCACUCGCAACUCUGAUGCUCCUCCAUACACGAGGAACAUGUCCUUAGUUCUUCUUAAGUACUUAAGGACCGUCUUGACAGCUCCCCAGUGUUCUGAUCCUGGGUUAGAUUGAUAUCGACUAGUAAUGCUCACAGCAUAUGCAAUAUCUGGCCUUGUGCAUAUCAUGGCAUACAUGAGGCUUCCUAUGGCUGAAGCAUAAGGAAUACAACUCAUUUGCCGUAUCUCUUCAGGAGUUUUAGGUUCCAUGGAUUUAGAAAAGGUGAAUUCCAUGUCCAACAGGAAGAAAACCUUUCUUAGAUUGUUCCAUCUGGAACCUACUUAGCACCUUAUCAAUGUACAUAGAUUGGGAUAAUCCAAUUAAUUUUCUGGAUCUAUCACGAUAGAGCUUUAUCCCAAGUACAUAAGAUGCAUCUCCCAAAUCUUUCAUGUGGAAGGUUUUGGACAACCACACUUUUAUAGAAGAAAGUACUGCAGUGUCAUUCCCGAAUAGUAAUAUGUCAUCUACAUAUAACACUAGGAAUACAACUGCAUCUCCAACGACCUUUUGAUAAACACAAUUGUCGUCUUCGUUUUGAGUAAAACCAAACGUUUUGAUCUCAUUGUCGAAACGAAUGUUCCAGCUCCUGGAGGCUUGCUUAAGUCCAUAAAUGGACCUUUGAAGCUUGCAUACCUUAGUCUUUUUCAGACUUGGACACGAAACCCUCGGGUUGAGUCAUAUAGAGCUCUUCCUCUAGGUAGCCGUUCAGAAAGGCCGUCUUCACGUCCAUUUGCCAUAUCUCAUAAUCAUGGUACGCAGCUAUCGCAAGCAAAAUCCGAAUGGACUUAAUCAUGGCUACAGGAGAGAAAGUUUCUUCAUAGUCAAUCCCUUCUCUUUGCCUGUAACCCUUGGCUACUAAUCUAGCCUUAUAAGUCUCCACGUUCCCAUCAACGCCUAUCUUCCUCUUGAAGACCCAUUUGUUUCCAACAGGUACAAUACCUUCUGGAGGGUCUACAAGAGUCCAGACCUGGUUUUGAUACAUGGAAUCCAUCUCGGAUUUCAUGGCCUCUUGCCAUCUCUUUGAAUCAAUGUCGGACAUUGCUUCAGUGUAGUCUCUAGGGUCCUCCUUUGUUUCAUUGUCACCUAGAAGGUACAAUUCAUCAAAGUCAUUGUCUAAGCCAUACCUCUUAGGUGGCUUACUAACCCGUUCAGAUCUACGUGGAGCCAGGGGUUCAGGAACAGGGUUGUCAAUAUGUCUAGUGCUUGUUUGUGGUUCAUUAUUAAUCUCAUCAAUUUCCAUCUGUUUGCUUAUAGUCCCUUUGAGAACGAAUUCGUCCUCUAGAAACUUAGCAGUUCUGGCGACAAAGACUUUCUGGUCGUCGUCAGGAUGGUAGAACUCAUAUCCCAUAGUUUCUUUAGGAUAUCCCACAAAAUAGCAUCUUACUGAUCUCGCUUCAAGCUUAGUAGCUUCAAGCUUCUUGACAUAUGCUUCACAACCCCAAAUCUUAAUGUGUUUAAGACUUGGCUUUCUUCCAUGCCAUAUCUCAUAGGGCGUUUGUGAAACUGAUUUGGAAGGUACUCUAUUAAGCAAGUAAGCUGCUGUAUAUAGAGCGUAUCCCAAGAAUGUUACUGGUAGAUCAGCAGAACUCAUCAUAGAACGAACCAUGUUCAUCAAGGUUCGAUUUCUCCUUUCAGAAACUCCAUUGAGUUGUGGAGUUCCCGGUGGAGUCCACUGUGAUAUUAUUCCACACUCUUUGAGAUAAUCUAGGAACUCAUUACUCAGAUAUUCACCCCCUCGAUCCGAUCUUAGGGUCUUUAUCUGUUUCCCAGUUUGCUUCUCAACUUCAUUCUUGAAUUCUUUGAACCUUUCAAAGGAUUCUGACUUGUACUUCAUAAGAUACACAUAGCCAAACCGAGAGUGAUCGUCGGUGAAUGUGAUAUAGUAAGAGAAGCCUCCUCUCGACGUAGUAAACAUAGGUCCACAUACGUCAGUGUGGAUUAACCCUAGAAUUUCAGUGGCACGCUCUCCUUUUCCAGUAAAUGGAGAUUUGGUCAUUUUCCCUUUCAAGCAACAUUCACAAGUACCCAUCUGGUCAUUACCCAAUGGGUGGAUAUAUCCGUCUUUCGACAUCUUGCGAAUCUUAUCAAGGUUCACAUAUCCAAGUUUAAGAUGCCACGUCUUUUCUUGGUUAACAUCUUCUCUAGCCCUUUUGGGUUUUGAGGUAUUCCCGCUUUCAAUACAGUGCAACCCACUAUUCGUCUCUAGGUGAAAAAGUCCCUCUAUCAUAUUACCAUGAGAGAUAAUACGACCGUUCAAGUAUAAAGUGCAACUCAUUUUGUCAAACAAUACUGAGUGCCCAUCUCGUAAAAGCUUAGAGAUGGAAAUCAAAUUCUUUAUACAUGAAGGAAAAUAUAAACAAUUUUUAAGUUCCAGGACUUCCCCAGAGGGUAGGUUAAGCAUGUAGGUGCCUAUUGCUUUUGCUGAGAUUUUAGUGCCGUUCCCAACUCGCACAAUCAUCUCCCCAUUGCUCAGUGACUUGCUCCCCACUAGUCCCUGCAUCGUAUUACAGAUAUGUUGACUAGCGCCUGAAUCAAAUAUCCAGGAAUUGGAGCUCACUGUAAAAGAACUCUCUAUGACAGAAAUAGUCUCUUCAAAAGUUCUUGUCAUAAGGCUCGCAAUGCGCACCCUGUAUUUCUUCUUCCAACGUUCAUCCUUUCCACAAUGAAAGCAUGUUCCUUUAGAUUUCUUUGCCUUCUUCUUAUGCAACCUUUUCCUUAUGUUUGCAUUCUCACUCCCACUGUCCAUUUUGAAACCUUUUUCAAAUCUACAGCACAUGUCAAUCAUCUCUUUCAAAGAAUGAUCGAAUCUAUUCACUUUAUAGUUUACAAUAAACUUAGUGAAAUCAUCCGAGAGAGAUGCAAGGAAAAAGUCUUGGGCCAUUUUCCCAUCGAUGGAAGUUCCUAAACUUUUAAGAUCUUUAAAUAUCUUUUCCACCUUUUGUCCAUGUUUAUGAACCGAUGUCCCCUUUGCCAUCUUGGCAUUCAUUAAACUACAAACAUUUGAGAAUCGUACAUUACUAGUCUCAAUGUCAUGCAUCUUAUGCAAACUUUCAACCAUGGCACAAGAAGUGUCCAUGUGCUUAUGUAGCUUCAUAAGCUCCUUACUAAGUGAAGUAAGGAUUAAGCAUUUGGCUUGUAAGUCAUCCUCAUAGUGUCUUACAUAAUUUUGACACUCCUCCUUUGAAGCUAGUUUCGUAGGAGGUACAUGAGGAGGGGAUUGCUUAAGCACAUACAAUAUGUCUUUCACCUUUGAGACAUUCUCAAUAUGGCGAUACCAAGCAAGGAAACGUUGGCCCUUAAGGCCACUUUUGUCAAGUAUAAUGGUGGGUAUAAUUUUAGGCAUGUCGUUCACUACAUAACAUAACAGAAAUCGUAUUAGAUUGUUUGUUUAAAACUAUUUGAUUGGGUCUUUGAAUCAAAUAGUACCACCCACUAUUUUUGGCAAAUUCCACAUCCCUCAAUAGAAUUCGAGAGUUAUAUUGAACUCUUAGCGGGUUAUGGGAGACUCACCAUUACCAAGCCCACCUCACGAUGAUACGAUGUUUGGCUAGCAAAAAUAAUGAUGAGAGAAUAACGCAUUAUUCAUUUACAACUUUUGUAAUUACCCAUCCGUUUGGCCUCUAGAGAAUGUUGCCUCACGAUGAUACGAUGUUGGCACCAUUGCACUUAGUUUAAGUUAUUCCCACCAUGCUUAGUUUGUGAAGGGGUUCAAGAAUAGCCUCACGAUGAUACGAUGUCGGCUACCCUCGUUGCCUACACUAACCUCAUCAUAUGUUUAUGGACUCCUCCUGGAUGUAAGCACAUACUUUGUACUCCCCCAUGAUAGGGUGAAGCCGGUGUAUGAGUCACAAACGCUUGGAGCCCACCACGGUGGAAGGCCUACGAAGAGAUAUUCUAAACAUCUCUCGCUUAUCAACUUAAAUCUUCAUUUUGAGGGAGUAGUUUUGGGCUACAUCAAAAUCAUUUUAAUCAUAUUAAAAGAACUUGGGCCUAUCACAACUAUUGGUCCAAGUUAAUAUGAAUUAGUAGCAUAUAAUACUCCCACUGUUUCGUUGAAACAAGCGAGACUAUAUGGAACUACUAACGAAUGCAUUGCAUCCUCAUAUGGACUAUAUAGUCAUAUUAGGUUUUAGGAUGAUUAUGAACCGUUUGAUUUGAUCCAACACGAGCCUUGUGUUGGACCUUGGGUUUAAGGUAGAUAGUUGUUGAUUUUAGUUACGCGUUUAAUCCAAUUAACCGUUAUUUCCUAUUGGGCGUUGGACCCAACUAUUCCAUUUUGCAUACAUAUAAACAAAAGGAAUACAUGAAAUAAUAAGAAGGGCUUAUGCCUUUUUACAACACAAAUCAAAUGAUGGACUUAUGUCCAUUUACAACAAAUUGAAUUAAUCAAAUUACAUUCAAAUCUAUACUACUAAAACCCAAACAUUCAUAAUGUAUAUCGGCCAAUCACAUAGCUCAAUUAUCGUGGCCUUUGGUUCAUAAUCAUCCUUUUCUUAAUCAAUCACAUUAACCAAGAAAACAACUUUAAACAAUUGGUUUUUGGAUCCAUAGAAAUGAUUUAAAUGGAACUAAAUGAAAUGAAAAUCCAAUUCUCAUUAAAGAGACAAAACAAUUUUGUUCUCAUUUUAUUUGGGCCAAAAGGAAACUAUGACCACAACAAUUGGGCCAUAAUGCAAAUACAAAAACUUUUGGGGUCACUUUGUAUAAACACAAUAGUCCACAACUUCAUGUAAAUACAACUAGAUCCCAAAAUUUUAAUAAUGUAAAAACAUCAUUAAAGGAUCAAAACAAUUUGUCCUUUAGAGUUUUAGGGCCUAAACGUAAAAACGUAAACUUUUGGGCCAAAAUGCAAAAAACACAAAAGUAUCAAAACUUUAUGUUAAUUGCACAAAAGGCCCCAAAAGGACCCCCAUUAGGGGUGGCCGGCCAUUUGGAGUGAACAAGUGAAAAAAUUAAAUUUUUGAAAAAAUUUUUGCAAGUUGAUUAAAGUACGUAAGCAAGUGGAUUGGUUGGUGAAGAAAGUCUUUGCAAACUUUAAAGACUUGUAAGAAAAUGUAAGAAAAUGUUUUGUAAACAUUAAUGACAUUUUCCUUUCUUCACCCUUAAGUUAUAAUACAAAAUUAAUAAACCAAAACUUUAUGAAAAACAUAAAACCUUUAAAUCAAAACUUCAAAACUUUUUGUUCUUGGCAAGAACUUCAAGAACAUGAAGAACAAACAUGAAAAACUCAUAAUAGCUCCAUGGAUGUUUUCAUUCACCAAAACUCAAUUUUUCACCACUCAAAAGAGGGCUAAUAUCCUAGGGUACUUAGGGGUUCCAAAAGUCACCUUAAAACCAUUUUAACAAGACAAACAUGAACCCAAAAAGUCACCCUAAGGAUUUGGCCGAAUUUCCCAAAACUCAUGGCACCAAAUUUUAGUUCCAAUAUUCAUGCUUAAAUGAAAUACAUCUACAACAUUUGAGAUGCUAAAUUUUCUAGCAAAAUUUAUAUAUUCAAAAGCAAGAACAAAGCUUGUAACAUUUACAACAUUUAAAUCACAAAAUAUGAACAUCACAAAACCCAAAAGGAUUCACCAUACACUAGGCCUAGGCUCUGAUACCACUUGAAGGAAAAAAUUUGUCCUAGCUAAGAACAAGUAUGAACAUUUGAAUACACAUGCAAGCUAUUAACACUUUAAAGUAGGCAUGCAUCCAAAAAACAAUUCAUGAAACCCAUGACUUUCAAAGCCUAGUAUAUGGUGAACCAAAAUAAACUCUUUAACAAUAUUAAAGAGAAGUAAAGAUUAAGUGAUUCUUUACCCUUGAAGCUCAUCCUUGUUUACACAAGGGAUUCACCCAAGUGGAGGGCCUUCAAGUCACCUCCAAGCUCCUUGAAUCCUCCUUGUGUUUUCCUCCCUUUAGUGCUCCUUUGAUGAUUUGAGGAAAAAGGAUUUGUUCUCCAAAACACCAAAAGCUUGAUGUCUCUAAGUCUCUUCACCAAGGUUGUAUAUUGUGAAGAUGAUAUGGAUGACUAAGGAAAGAAGAGAUUACUAGAUGUCCCUCCCCUUAGUGGCCGGCCUCCUUAGAAGAAAAUGGAGAAAAUGUUUCACCCAAUUUCAACAAGAAGAACCCUAAUUAGAAAAUAGCUAUAAAGUUGCUUUUAUAACCUUUUCUUUGGUGAGUGGCAAACUUGUAAUUAAGCAAACUUUGCCCAUCCACCCUAAUGGCCGGCCAUCCUUUGUCAUUGGGCUAAUUUGCCCAUUUUGUUUUAGUUGUCAUGCAACUUAAACAUAAUGGGCCUUGUGGACCAAAACGCUUUUGGGCCCCGAAACCCAAAACCAACAUAUAAGCCCAAUACGAACCUUUCGUAUAAUUAAUUAACUAAUUAAUUAAUCUUGACCAUUCUUCAAUUAAACCAUUUAAUUGCUUAUCCAUUUCAUUUGAUAUCUUCACAUACAUCCUUACUCGGUGUACGAUCCAUUAGGUUCCAAUUAGCGAGGCAGUGGGCGAUGUUACUCUUAACGAUCGAUUGUGAAUUGAAACCACAUUUCAAUUCUCCCUUUUGUUGAUUAGUGUUUGCUAACCAUUAGGGCUUCCACAAAACAUGAGUGACGCCUAGCAGCAUAUCAUGGUUACCCAAGCUAAGUAGAAUUGGUUGGAGAACCUAUCCAGUUACAACUACAAUGCAAUACGGUCCUUCUCUAAUACAAUACUCUUAAUCACAUUGUUUAAGUGAUAGUUUGUUUCAUGUCUACUAUCCAAUGUGAUACUUUCCUAUAUGAUUCCCUUGAAUAUGAUUCGGAACAAACUUCCUAAGUCAUAUUCAUUUGCUUUGGCCAAAGACUUUAGAAUCAUAUCUUAGAGUAUUCUCCCUCCACCAUGGAAGGUUAGAGAUCCCUUGUUGUGCAUUCAUAUGCCUACAUGACUAGAUAGCUUGACCCCAACAAUGCCGUGGACACUCCAAAGGAAUGCCGUUGACAGGAUCAAAGAUCAAGGACCUAACCAUUAGACAUCGAUGAUGCCUCAUGUCAAAGGACUACUUUGCAUAUUGCAACUUUAGAGUUCAUACAUGACAUGUAUGUUCGAACUCUCUUUUGAUCGUAGUUCAGUGUACUCGAUUACUCUUUCGAGCACCUAUGUGUUUGUCUUAGUGUCCAACACCAAAUGACUUGAGACUAGUCAUACUCACGCUUGAGUCAACACAACACAUACUAACCUUAGCGGAUUGUCAAUGCCCAAUUGGCAAUCCUAUGGCUAGGAACGUUUUAGGAAUGAACAUAAGAGAAAGGUCUCGAUAAUUUAACUUACUUAGAUCACUUUGCUCUUAGAACAAAUACAUUCCUUGGAUUCUCUUAUUGCUUAAACACAUGAUACAAUAAAUAGUGAUUAACAAUAAGAUUUGCCCUUCAUUAAACAUAUAAAAGUUUAAUACAUUUAAGUAUUCCAAAAAGCUAUUACAUCAAAUGAGUGGCUUUGUGGGCAUACU